rnacentral:lncRNA from 1 species
CAUCAUUUAGUUCCAAAUGCUAGAACUCAUGCCCAUUUCAUUCAAAGCAUGUUAUUGAUUUGCAUAACACAUAUUCAAGAUGAAGUUGUGUAGUGACCACCACCUUAGCCAAAAAGCCAUGAAUCCCCUAUGUCAUUAUGUUUUGUAGGUUUUAACCCCGUUGAGCCUUGUUUAGCCUAUGUUGUUGUUAACCCACAUUAUCCUCACCUAGCCUAGAUUAGGACCAUCCAUACCCUUGUUCUUAAAGCAUAGUAAAGCAUGAUUCAAAUUGAAUUCCUUUUGAUCUAUGUUGGCAGAAAACCAAGUGUGGGGGAAGUAUUUUUCAUGAGGAAUUGUGUGCCAUAGGCACGGCAAAGAAAAGAAAAAAAAAAUUCGUGGAAAAAGAAAAAAUGAAGAAAAAUGUGUGAAAAGUAUGAAAAAAAAAAAAAAAAAAAAAGUUUGAAAAAAAAAAAAAAAAAGAAAAAGAGUUCCAAAGUAUUGUUUGUUGAAGUAAGGGUCCAAAACAAUGAAUUCGGCCCUAAGGAGUUGUUUAAGUCUUCCCCUUGUGUUUUAAAGUUAAUUUCUGCAAUCUAAGUGAAUUCUAAGUCUCAAUUUCAUUGCUUUGCUUACUAUUGCUUGAAGAACGUUUGUUUUCCCCAUCCUUUCCUUGUUAACCAACAACCUAAGCCCCAUUACAACCCUUAACUUCUAUCUUGAGUGUUAUGUGUUUCAAUUUGUGGAGUUUGAAUUUGGUAUGAGCAUAUGGUGUCACUGGUUCUCGCAUCUAAGUAGUAGCAUUCCAUUCAUGAGAUCAUAUCUAAACAUGCUUCUUAACUCUAGAAAUUGCGUUCUUUGUGAAACAUAUAUGUGAGCAUUCGUUUUCAUAUCUACAUCAAUCUUCUCACAUAUGACUAGUGUAGGGUGUGGAGUUAGAAAAUCUGAGUGAAAAUAGAGUGUAUAUCUUGUAAGGAAUUGAGGGAAUUCUCUAAGGCAUGUUACUACAUUCAAAGCAUUGUUUUAAUUGAUUACUUGUGAACUAGUAAGUGGUGGCUUUAAUUAAGUAUGUGCUUGUGUAAAGAUGACUCAAAUCUGUGGGGAUAGCAAUCUUUAACAUGUCAUGUGCAUUGGAAAUCCCUGAGGCAAACGUUGGAAGGUUUAGGUUUGUUUUGGUUAGUUUGUUUCGUUUCGUUUUCUUUCUUUUGUUUGUUUUGCUCGAGGACUAGCAAAAGCUAAGUGUGGGGGAAUUUGAUAGGAGCAUAUUUAUGCGCCUUAGUUAGCUAGUUCUUAUGCAUCUUUGUUAUGUUUUCUUCGUUAAAGUAGUCUUUUAAGCUACUUUCAUGUGUUUUCAGGUUUAAAGGACAUAUUACAUGAAAUGAUGCAAUUUGGAGCUUUUGGAGCAAAAAGUGAGCUUGGAAUGAAAAGGACAUGCUUGGAAC